UCUGCAUGUACAUUCGCAUACUAGAAGAGG
rnacentral:piRNA from 1 species